UACAGAGGGGGCAAGCGUUAAUCGGAAUUACUGGGCGUAAAGCGUGCGCAGGCGGUUUUGUAAGUCUGUCGUGAAAUCCCCGGGCUCAACCUGGGAAUUGCGAUGGAGACUGCAAGGCUAGAAUCUGGCAGAGGGGGGUAGAAUUCCCGGUGUAGCGGUGAAAUGCGUAGAGAUCGGGAGGAACACCGGCGGCGAAGGCGGCUGCCUGGACCAGUCCUGACGCUGAGGCGCGAAAGCUAGGGGAGCAAACAGG
rnacentral:rRNA from 1 species